GACGAACGCUGGCGGCGUGCUUAACACAUGCAAGUCGAACGGAGUGGCGAACGGGUGAGUCACCCGUGGGUGACCUGCCCUGCACUUCGGGAUAAGCCUGGGAAACUGGGUCUAAUACCGGAUAGUGUGGGAUGGGCCCGGGGCCUAUCAGCUUGGUGGUGGGGUAAUGGCCUACCAGGGCGGCGACGGGUAGCCGGCCUGAGAGGGUGGAAGGCCACAUAGGGACUGAGAGACGGCCCAGACUGCUACGGGAGACAGUAGAGGGGAAUAUUGCGCAAUGGGCGGAAGCCUGAGGCAGCGACGCCGCGGGGGUGAUGACGGCUUUCGGGUUGUAAACUCCUUUGACCAUCGACGCGGUAGACGGAGAAAAAGCACCGGCUAACUACGUGCCAGCAGCCGCGGUAAUAC
rnacentral:rRNA from 1 species